GAAACGAGAUUCAGAUUACAACCUCACCAUAAUCACACUCAGUUGAACAGAAUAAAAUACAAGAAAUAAAGACACCGAGAAAUUUACGAGGUUCGGCAAAAAUCCUGCCUACGUCCCCGGAGAGAUAUUGCUCUUCACUAUGAGAAUAACAGUACAAGUACACAUGAGUUAAAUCAACAUAACCCAAUCCCGAAUCCCUUGCACACCCACUCAUAGAAUUUUCCCAAGAGCCUCACUCUAUCCCAAGAGUUCUUUCACCAGAGACCUUUCACUCUAGCUCUCUUGAUUUCUCUCUCACCCGUGUUCAACCCUUCCCAUGGGAGAGCUGAAUGCUCUCCCCUUUUGGAUGCUCACUCCAUCCUCACAAUCGGCAAGCUCUCUUCAUUUUGUGUGUGAAAAAUGCCUUCACUUAUAGACAUGCACCAUCAAUUAUGUCAACCACAAAACAUGCUUCCACAAAACAUGCUUCCUCAAAACAUGCUUCCACAAAACAUGCUUCCACAAAACAUGCUUCCAAAGUCCACAAAGUUGAGAGGAAAUGGUUGCCAACUCAUAAUUAUAUGAGCCAAACACAACAAUCUCCACCUUGGCGAAUAUACUGUGCAAAAAUCCUUGCACCCAUCACCAAUGUCCAUUGGCCUUACGUACCAGCAUACACAUUCUGAAUCAACCUUGUUGGUCCUGUUCCUGAUUCAGUCACUGCCAAUGCAUGUGCAGCUGCUGCAAGCUAAAAAUCACCAUUUAGCUUCAGACAGGAUCUCGACACAUCCUCGUCUCCUCCAGCAGGUUUUCCUUCUCUUCAUUGUCUGCAACUAGGAAACUCGUCAGCGCGCCCGUUUCCAGUAACAACCCAUCGAGCCAGACAAAAUUCCCACACUUCCUCCUACCUCAUGAUCAUCUCAUCACCUGUGAAUCCCAUAGCUCCACCUGCUGCAAAACCCCUGCAACACUUGAGACUAAACAUCACCAGGAGAAGUGUUGCUUCGAGUACCUAGAGGACAUACUCAAAGUCUUCCGCCACAAACUUGCUACAACCCGGCCUUGCACCGUAGCACUGUGGACCCUUGCCUCCGGAACCGGAUCUGAACCUGCUGUCUCUCUCUGAUCCUCUUUCCAAUUUUCUUCCACGAUUCCAACCUUGAAUAACUUAAGCAGUCUUGUGCCCACCAUCAUCCAUGGUCUCCUUUGUGUAUCAUUCCACACCAAAGAAGCUUGCACCUGCUCCAAACUUACUGUAUCUUUCCAUGCAGUAAAGUUUCACAAGGUUCUAAGACAAAUCUGAAAGUGAGGUAAGAAGAAAGAGGCCUUUGUUUUCUUCCUCAACAUCAACUUUCGCAGUUGAUCCAAGCAUCCCUGAACACGGCUUCCAUUACUCUCCUUUGCCAAGAGUAAAACCGCCUCUUCCUUUAAACUGCUCAACUGAAAAUUCCAUGGUGAACAACAAAUCUGGACCUCCAACGAACCAAAGACUCCAACGAUGCUCUGAUACCAAUUGUUAUGCCUUGGCCCGUUUAUCAGUGCGGAAACGAGAUUCAAAUUACAACCUCACCAUAAUCACACUCAGUUGAACAGAAUAAAAUACAAGAAAUAAAGACACCGAGAAAUUUACGAGGUUCGGCAAAAAUCCUGCCUACGUCCCCGGAGAGAUAUUGCUCUUCACUAUGAGAAUAACAGUACAAGUACACAUGAGUUAAAUCAACAUAACCCAAUCCCGAAUCCCUUGCACACCCACUCAUAGAAUUUUCCCAAGAGCCUCACUCUACCCCAAGAGUUCUUUCACUAGAGACCUUUCACUCUAGCUCUCUUGAUUUCUCUCUCACCCGUGUUCAACCCUUCCCAUGGGAGAGCCGAAUGCUCUCCCCUUUUGGAUGCUC
rnacentral:lncRNA from 1 species